ACACACUGAAAUGUCUCGCCUUCUUUACUAAUCAUUGAUAUUAUGUUGAUAGUCCUAAAUAUAAAGCUUUAUUACAACUGUCACAUAAACUAAACAUUAACCAAGUAAACUAAACAUUGACCAAUGAACCAUGAAAAUGAGGUCAAGGUCAGAUGACACCUGCCAGCUAGACAUGUAUACCUUACAAUCAUUCCAUACACCAAAUAUAGUAGACCUAUUGCAUACAGUAUAAGAAAAACAGACCAAAACACAACAACUUAACUAUAACCACUGAACCAUGAAAAUGAGGUCAAGGUCAGAUGACACCUGCAAGUUGGACA